GAUGAACGCUGGCGGCGUGCCUAAUACAUGCAAGUCGAGCGAACAGACGAGGAGCUUGCUCCUUUGACGUUAGCGGCGGACGGGUGAGUAACACGUGGUUAACCUACCUAUAAGACUGGGAUAACUUCGGGAAACCGGAGCUAAUACCGGAUAAUAUUUCGAACCGCAUGGUUCGAUAGUGAAAGAUGGCUUUGCUAUCACUUAUAGAUGGACCUGCGCCGUAUUAGCUAGUUGGUAAGGUAACGGCUUACCAAGGCAACGAUACGUAGCCGACCUGAGAGGGUGAUCGGCCACACUGGAACUGAGACACGGUCCAGACUCCUACGGGAGGCAGCAGUAGGGAAUCUUCCGCAAUGGGCGAAAGCCUGACGGAGCAACGCCGCGUGAGUGAUGAAGGUCUUCGGAUCGUAAAACUCUGUAAUUAGGGAAGAACAAACGUGUAAGUAACUGUGCACGUCUUGACGGUACCUAAUCAGAAAGCCACGGCUAACUACGUG
rnacentral:rRNA from 1 species